CAAAUUUUGAAGAUUCUUUGUUUCCACUCACUUUGGAAACGACAUGUCGUACGUAACAUCUGUACUGGUGUAAACAUUUUACUAACUGAACAAUAUAUACAAACGUUUAGUUCUGGAAUAGACUAGCUAGGAUAUGGUAAGAGUUUGAACAAGUUUUAAAAUUAGAAGAUCAUUUAUUAGGGCAGGCACCAGUGCAGGCCUAAGCAGCCCAAAAGAAUGACCCCAAUCCCUCACCUUGAAAGCCUAAAGAAUGGCACCGAAGGAUGCCACAAGUCUUGAUUCAAACUUCUACAUUUCACAAUAAAGUAGACAGACUUAUGGAUAAAAGACCGUAACUACUCAUUUGGGACACCUGAAUGGCUCAGCCAGUUAAGCGUCUGACUCUCGGUUUCAUCUCAGGUCAUGAUCUCACAGUCCGUGGGUUCCAGCCCCUGCGUCAGGUUCGUCACUGACAGCUCGGAGCCUGCUUGAGAUUCUCUCUCUCCCUUCUCUCUCUGCCCCUCCCCCCUUGCACACUCUCUCUCAAAACAAAUAAACUUAAUAGUUUUUUAAAGUUUAUAUAUUCAAAUUGGCAAAAGUGUGGAGUUUCUCUCAUAGUUGGGGUCAUUUUUUAUUUAGUCACAUAAUAUCCACUGAACCUCUACUCUAUGGCAAGCCCUAUUGUAAGUGCUGUGAAUAUAUUAGUUAACUGCUUUUAUGAACUUGAUUUGCAGGUAGUCAUAAGGGGAAAAAAUCAAGGUGAUGUGAAGGAGAUUGGCAAAGGGUUCACAGGAGACCAACAGAAUAAAAGGAAAUCCUGCCAAGAUCAAGGAAACAAUGUGGAGAAGGAGAAAAAGCAGAGAAUUUAAAGUUUGUCUUUUAUGGAAAUCUGGAAAGUCCAAUAGCAUUACACAGGUAAAAUAAAAGAUUCAUGAUCCAGCAAGAGAGGGAGAAAUAACAGAAACUGCUCUGCCUAACUGAAAAGGACAAAAAAAAAAAAAGGUAAGAUCUCCACUUUAUCAUCAAACAGCUUUCUCUUCAGGUUUAAAAGAGCUCUGCUCUGGGAAAUGGAGCUCAUGACAAGGUUGGGGCAGGGAUGGGAAGGGAUUUAUAAAGGUCCAUUUUCUUAAAAAGUGACCAGGAUAAGGGUGCCUGGGUGGCUUAGUUGGUUGAGCAUCUGACUUCAGCUCAGAUCAUGACCUCACAGUUCAUGAGUUUGAGUCCCAUAUUGGGCUCUCUGCUGUCAGGAUAGAACCUGCUUCAGAUUCUCUGUCCCCCCCUCUCUCUUUGCCUUCCCCUGUGCAUGCUUUCUCUCAAAAAUAAAUACACAUUUUAAAAAAGUGAUCAGCAUCAAGAGAGGCUGCAGGUGAACCUGCUGUGAGACACUAGGUCAGAUAAUGAAGUACCAGUGUCAUUAUAUGGUAGCAUGUUCCUAUCUGUUACUACUGUGCUUGUGCGAAGUUAGACACCGGCAGACAUGGGGCUAAAUGAAGUUUGAAAUAAUUCAUUAGGAUUGUUUUUCUUUUUGCUGACUUUGUCUGUGUUGAUUGGGGACACAGUUAAACUCCCAUUAUCUUUGAUAGAACUUGCUCAGUGCAGAUCUGACUGCAGCUAAGAAACUGAAAGGCUGCAAAUACGUUAUAUUCAUGAAAAGGAAAGACUAGAAAGGAGGUGUGGUGAACAGCCACCUGACACUAAUUUUUUCAAUAUUUAUUUGUUUUGGG
ensembl:lncRNA